rnacentral:rRNA from 1 species
GAUGAACGCUGGCGGCGUGCCUAAUACAUGCAAGUCGAGCGAACGGACGAGAAGCUUGCUUCUCUGAUGUUAGCGGCGGACGGGUGAGUAACACGUGGAUAACCUACCUAUAAGACUGGGAUAACUUCGGGAAACCGGAGCUAAUACCGGAUAAUAUUUUGAACCGCAUUGUUCAAAAGUGAAAGACGGUCUUGCUGUCACUUAGAGAUGGAUCCGCGCUGCAUUAGCUAGUUGGUAAGGUAACGGCUUACCAAGGCAACGAUGCAUAGCCGACCUGAGAGGGUGAUCGGCCACACUGGAACUGAGACACGGUCCAGACUCCUACGGGAGGCAGCAGUAGGGAAUCUUCCGCAAUGGGCGAAAGCCUGACGGAGCAACGCCGCGUGAGUGAUGAAGGUCUUCGGAUCGUAAAACUCUGUUAUUAGGGAAGAACAUAUGUGUAAGUAACUGUGCACAUCUUGACGGUACCUAAUCAGAAAGCCACGGCUAACUACGUG